rnacentral:rRNA from 1 species
AUUAAUUCGAUGCAACGCGAAGAACCUUACCAAGGCUUGACAUACACCGGAAACUUCCAGAGAUGGUUGCCCCGCAAGGUCGGUGUACAGGUGGUGCAUGGUUGUCGUCAGCUCGUGUCGUGAGAUGUUGGGUUAAGUCCCGCAACGAGCGCAACCCUCGUCUUAUGUUGCCAGCACGUCAUGGUGGGGACUCAUAAGAGACUGCCGGGGUCAACUCGGAGGAAGGUGGGGAUGACGUCAAAUCAUCAUGCCCCUUAUGUCUUGGGCUUCACGCAUGCUACAAUGGCCGGUACAAAGGGCUGCGAUACCGCGAGGUGGAGCGAAUCCCAAAAAGCCGGUCUCAGUUCGGAUUGAGGUCUGCAACUCGACCUCAUGAAGUCGGAGUCGCUAGUAAUCGCAGAUCAGCAACGCUGCGGUGAAUACGUUCCC